GACGAACGCUGGCGGCGUGCUUAACACAUGCAAGUCGAACGGAAAGGCCCAGCUUGCUGGGUACUCGAGUGGCGAACGGGUGAGUAACACGCGGGUGAUCUGCCCUGGACUCUGGGAUAAGCCAGGUAAACUGGGUCUAAUAACGGAUAUGACCUUACAUCGCAUGGAGUGUGGUGGAAAGCAUUUGCGGUUCGGGAUGGGUCCGCGGCGUAUCAGCUCGUUGGUGGGGUAAUGGCCUGCCAAGGCGACGACGGGUAGCCGACCUGAGAGGGUGAUCGGCCACACUGGGACUGCGACACGGCCCAGACGCCUACGGGAGGCAGCAGUGGGGAAUAUUGCACAAUGGGCGCAAGCCUGAUGCAGCGACGCCGCGUGCGGGAUGACGGCCUUCGGGUUGUAAACCUCUUUCUCCAGGGACGAAGCGUGAGUGACGGUACCUGGAGAAGAAGCACCGGCUAACUACGUG
rnacentral:rRNA from 1 species